rnacentral:rRNA from 1 species
AGACCCGAAACCCGGUGAUCUAGCCAUGGGCAGGUUGAAGGUUGGGUAACACUAACUGGAGGACCGAACCGACUAAUGUUGAAAAAUUAGCGGAUGACCUGUGGCUGGGGGUGAAAGGCCAAUCAAACCGGGAGAUAGCUGGUUCUCCCCGAAAGCUAUUUAGGUAGCGCCUCGUGAAUUCAUCUCCGGGGGUAGAGCACUGUUUCGGCUAGGGGGCCAUCCCGGCUUACCAACCCGAUGCAAACUGCGAAUACCGGAGAAUGUUAUCACGGGAGACACACGGCGGGUGCUAACGUCCGUCGUGAAGAGGGAAACAACCCAGACCGCCAGCUAAGGUCCCAAAGUCAUGGUUAAGUGGGAAACGAUGUGGGAAGGCCCAGACAGCCAGGAUGUUGGCUUAGAAGCAGCCAUCAUUUAAAGAAAGCGUAAUAGCUCACUGGUCGAGUCGGCCUGCGCGGAAGAUGUAACGGGGCUAAACCAUGCACCGAAGCUGCGGCAGCGACACUCAGGUGUUGUUGGGUAGGGGAGCGUUCUGUAAGCCUGCGAAGGUGGCCUGUGAGGGUUGCUGGAGGUAUCAGAAGUGCGAAUGCUGACAUAAGUAACGAUAAAGCGGGUGAAAAGCCCGCUCGCCGGAAGACCAAGGGUUCCUGUCCAACGUUAAUCGGGGCAGGGUGAGUCGACCCCUAAGGCGAGGCCGAAAGGCGUAGUCGAUGGGAAACGGGUUAAUAUUCCCGUACUUGGUGUUACUGCGAAGGGGGGACGGAGAAGGCUAUGUUGGCCGGGCGACGGUUGUCCCGGUUUAAGCGUGUAGGUGUGUGUUCCAGGUAAAUCCGGUUCACUUUAACACUGAGGCGUGAUGAC